GCAGUGGUGGCUCAGUGGUAGAAUGCUCAUCUUCCAUGUGGGAGACCCAGGUUCAAUUCCCGGCCAAGGCA
rfam:Loxodonta africana unplaced genomic scaffold scaffold_22, whole genome shotgun sequence.